rnacentral:rRNA from 1 species
GAUGAACGCUAGCUACAGGCUUAACACAUGCAAGUCGCGGGGCAGCAUGGGGGUUGCUUGCAACCCCUGAUGGCGACCGGCGCACGGGUGAGUAACGCGUAUCCAACCUGCCCUUCACCACGGGAUAACCCGGCGAAAGUCGGACUAAUACCGUAUGUUGUCCAUUGACGGCAUCCGAUUUGGACGAAAGGCUUGGCGGUGCAAGGUUGGGGAUGCGUCCGAUUAGCUUGACGGCGGGGUAACGGCCCACCGUGGCUACGAUCGGUAGGGGUUCUGAGAGGAAGGUCCCCCACACUGGAACUGAGACACGGUCCAGACUCCUACGGGAGGCAGAAGUGAGGAAUAUUGGUCAAUGGGCGUAAGCCUGAACCAGCCAAGUAGCGUGCAGGAUGACGGCCCUAUGGGUUGUAAACUGCUUUUAUGCGGGGAUAAAGUGGCCCACGUGUGGGCUUUUGCAGGUACCGCAUGAAUAAGGACCGGCUAAUUCCGUG